AUACUGUGAAACUGCGAAUGGCUCAUUAAAUCAGUUAUAGUUUAUUUGAUGAUACCUUGCUACAUGGAUAACUGUGGUAAUUCUAGAGCUAAUACAUGCAAUUAAGCCCCGACUUCUGGAAGGGGUGUAUUUAUUAGAUAAAAAACCAACGCGGCUCGCCGCUCACUUGGUGAUUCAUAAUAACUUCUCGAAUCGCAUGGCCUUGCGCCGGCGAUGCUUCAUUCAAAUAUCUGCCCUAUCAACUUUCGAUGGUAGGAUAGUGGCCUACCAUGGUUUCAACGGGUAACGGGGAAUAAGGGUUCGAUUCCGGAGAGGGAGCCUGAGAAACGGCUACCACAUCCAAGGAAGGCAGCAGGCGCGCAAAUUACCCAAUCCCGACACGGGGAGGUAGUGACAAUAAAUAACGAUAUAGGGCUCUAUCGGGUCUUAUAAUUGGAAUGAGUACAAUUUAAAUCCCUUAACGAGGAUCAAUUGGAGGGCAAGUCUGGUGCCCAGCAGCCA
rnacentral:rRNA from 1 species